rnacentral:rRNA from 1 species
UUGAACGCUGGCGGCAGGCCUAACACAUGCAAGUCGAACGGUAACAGGAAGCAGCUUGCUGCUUUGCUGACGAGUGGCGGACGGGUGAGUAAUGUCUGGGAAACUGCCCGAUGGAGGGGGAUAACUACUGGAAACGGUAGCUAAUACCGCAUAACGUCGCAAGACCAAAGAGGGGGACCUUAGGGCCUCUUGCCAUCGGAUGUGCCCAGAUGGGAUUAGCUAGUAGGUGGGGUAACGGCUCACCUAGGCGACGAUCCCUAGCUGGUCUGAGAGGAUGACCAGCCACACUGGAACUGAGACACGGUCCAGACUCCUACGGGAGGCAGAAGUGGGGAAUAUUGCACAAUGGGCGCAAGCCUGAUGCAGCCAUGCCGCGUGUAUGAAGAAGGCCUUCGGGUUGUAAAGUACUUUCAGCGGGGAGGAAGGGAGUAAAGUUAAUACCUUUGCUCAUUGACGUUACCCGCAGAAGAAGCACCGGCUAACUCCGUG